rnacentral:lncRNA from 1 species
GAUAGAGAACCAACAAGAAUGGAAGCAAAGAAGUUGAAAUCUGAGGAAAUCUGAAAAAAAGUAUGGCUGACGACAUUUGUGAUAAGUCAUCAGCCCCGUGAUAAGCUAUCUGCUUCAUCGUCAGUAGUAGACAGAGAAUUGGUGUAAGUUAAAGCUAUCAUGACAUUUUGUGAUAGGUCGUCAAGGGUCUGAUAAGCUGUCAAGAAUGUCAUCAGCCUAAGGCAGCACAGGAGAACUGAAGUAGAGCCUUGAUGACAUUUUAUGAUAGGUCGUUAAGGAGCUGAUAAGUCAUCAAGAUUGUCGUCAGCCUUAAGCAGGAAGAGCCAAAAUUGAAGAAGGAGUUGAUGACAUUUGUGAUAAGUCGUCAGCUUCCUGAUAGGCUAUCACAAAUGUCGUCACCUAAUCCAAGGUAUUUCUGAAAUUUUAUUAUUUUGUUUCCUUAUUUAGGGUGAACAAUUUAAAGCCUUGUUUAGGGUUUUCUUGGAGAGGCCGAACCUUGAGUUUUGAGACAUAUACUUUGAUAUUUUCUCUCUCUAACUUCUUGGCUUGAAAGAGUAAUUAUUUUGAAGAGAAUUUAAUCAUUCUUUUGGGAUUUUCUGUUGUGAUCUACUAUGAGAUUCACUAGUUAUUGUUAAUCUUGUGGUAAGCUUAUCUUUCAAAGUAUGAAUUCAUCUAGUUGCUUUAAUUAUUACAUCAUGAGCAGCUAAAUUCCUUUAACCUGAAUUAUGGGAUCUAGGGUUAGGUCUUGAUAAGGUGCUGAGUGAUUAAGAUUCGAAAGGUGGUAGAACUUCUUGAUAAUUCUGAGGUUUUAAUUAACGUCUGUUGGUUGCAAACAACAGAUAAAACCUACUUUGAUUUGCUUGAGAAAGAAAUCAAAUAUAGUAGGAAGUGAAUUAUCAACAGGGACUUGGAAAUACUCUGUUUAAUAAUUAGCGCUGUUACAAGGUUGGUUAACCUGAGGUAAAAUCUGGGCAGUGAAUAUAAAUUCCCUAAGUCUGAGAGGAUUAGGUAAUUAAAUGCUUAAGUAGGUCGAGAGACAUUUAAGCACAACUUCGAUAAAGAUAACUUGUUGUCCUACAUACCGUGAGAUUCCUAAACCACUAGUAGCAUCCGUCAAGUACCAAAAUCCCUAGUGAACAUAAUUCUAGUUUUUUCAUAAGCUCUUGAUUACGAACAAUGAAACUAACGUAACCAAAAAUUAUUUGUUUGAUCAUCAAAAACCCCCAUUUUAUCUUUUUGUAUCAUUGGAUUGAAUUUAAGUUGUAGCUAUAGUUUCAAAUUAGUUUAAUCGCCACUCACAUUGUUCCCUGUGGGAUUUGACCCCAACCUAGUUGGGUUUUAUAUUGAUAACGAUAUCUUACAUUCUCAUUGAUAGGUGUAGUUUGAGCAUUAUCAUCUCAUAAUGUAGGUUCAGGUGCUCGGUCCCUGCAACGUGAGUGAUUUUGGGCAUCUCUAUCAAUAUCCCAAUAGUUGGUGAGUCCUCAUGGUUUGAGGCCCUAUUUAUCCGUACUUCCAUCUUUCAUAGUAUUUGAGUAGUUUCUUUUAGUUUAGUCCAAGUCAAUUGAGGGCUUUUCCCAAUGGCUCUCUAGUUUUUUAGUAGUAGAGGCUUGUCGGACUACUAGCUAUUAUAUUCAGAGUUUCAGUAUUAGUUACCCAGAUAGUAUAUUAAGUUGAUCUUAGAGAAUUUUGGUAUAAUUUAGUAUUUUAGCAUUACUAUCUGAUUAAAUUACUUUAAUAUGAGUUAUAGACUUAGUAGUAGGCUUACAGGGUUUGCUUGAGACUACUCGUAGUCUUAAGCACCAUGUGACGUCUCGAGUCUCGGUUUUGAGGCAUUACAAACUAGGUAUCAGAGCUUAAGUUUUAGAGAGUCCUAGGAAGUCAGACAAGCUUCAUUACAUAGAAUCUUGAUCAUGGGUAUGAAGCACACCACAUUAUGAGCAAGAGGCUACGGGAUGUUUUUAGGAAAUCAUCUCUUUCUUUCAUAAUCCAUCGUGCUUACAACUAUCUCUAUUUGCUAUUAACUUAUGAUCUUUCAUGACAGAACAUGCCUCCUCGUAGAGCUAAUGCUUGUAAGAAUGAUAACCAUACACCCCAACAUAUUGAUCCUCUGAAUAAGAAUGUGUCUCAUACCAAAUUUUGGGCUGCCUUUCAGGUGUUAGCCCAAACUGUGACUGCUAAUGUUUAGGCUAGUAAUCGGGCUGUAGUUCUGCAUCAAUAAAAGAGUGAUUUAGCUGCAGCCAGACUUCGUAACUUCAUGAGAAUGAAUCCGCCUGAAUAUUUUGGGUCACAGAUAGGUGAGGACCCACACUUUUAUUUUGAUGAUGCCCAAUUUAUGUAUGUUAUUGAAGAGGAGAAUGUGGAAUUAGAUUCUUAAAGGCUGAAGGAUGUUUCUUAUGAUUGGGUUGUUAUAUGGAAGAAAGGUAGGGGUGAGAAUGCAGCUUUCAUAAGUUGGCAGGUGUUAUAGGAUACUUUUCUAGACAGGUUCUUUCCAUAUGAGUUACGAGAAAUCAAGAUUAAGUAGUUCAUAAACCUGAGACAGGGCUCAAUGACAGUGAAAGAGUACUACCUUAAGUUUAACUAGUUAUCUAAGUAUGCUCCUGAGUUGAUAGUUGACACUAGAUCUAGUAUGAGUAAGUUUGUUACCGAAGUAUCUGGAUUGGUAGUCAAGGAGUGUAGGACUGCCAUGAUUAUUGGAGACAUAGAUCUUGCUAAAUUGAUGACUCAUGUCCAAUAAAUUGAGGCAGAAAAUUUGAAGGGAAGAGAUACAAGUAAUAAGAAGUAUAGAAUUGGGUAGUUUGAAUAUGGUCAGGCAAGGUCUGCAGGGGAAAUCAUUCGCAGUUUCAGAGUUGUCCGCCUUUGCCAUCUCCAUCUUCAGCUAGUGCCCCUAUACCCAGAACUAAGUAGGAAUAGUGAGGUAAGAUUUCUAUGUCCAGAUCUUAGAAUAUUUUGGGUGGAAGGACUAAUUAUCGUUCAUAUGCUAGAUAUGGUAAAAAUCAUCCUGGAAAGUGCUUAUUGGGUUGAACGGUUGCUGGGUUAGAAAUGAUGCUUUGGAUGUGGUCAGUUGGGCUAUGGUAUCAAGGAGUUCCCAUAUGCUAAGCAAGGAAGUAGGGAUGUUUGUCCCCAGACUCAAGCUACUAGUGCACUAGCUCUUAUAACUCGCCAAUCCCUCCUUAGGGCGCAUCAUCCAAUACCUGUGGCGGUCACUACCAAAAUUAUUUCUAUACUUUACCAUCCCAUCAGGAGUAGGAGAUAUCCCCAGAUAUUAUUACUGGUAUGCUUCGUGUCUUUCAUCUUGAUGUUUAUGUGUUGUUGGACCCCGGGUUAAAUUUCUCUUAAUGACCCCAUUGUAGUAAAUUUUGAAAUAAGUCCUGAAAAGAUCUCUGAGCCUUUCUUGGUUGCUACCUCAGUGGGUGUGUUAGUCGUUGCCAAAUAGAUUUAUAGAAAGUGUCCUAUAACUGUCCUUCAUAAAAUAAUGUUAGCCGAUUUAAUAGAGUUAGAUAUGGUUGACUUUGAACUUAUUCUUGGUAUGGAUUGGAUCUAUUCUUAUCAUGUAUCCAUAGAUUGUCACACCCGAGAGUUGAAGUUUUAGUUUUCAGAUGAGCCAGUCUUUGAGUGGAAAGGUAAUUCAGUAUCUCCCAAUAGUCAUUUUAUAUCCUAUCUUAAAGCUAGAAAGUUGAUAUCAAAAGGGUGUAUCUAUCAUCUAGUUUGAGUCAAGGACGCUAAGUUUGAGGCUCCAAACGUUCAGUCAGUCCGGGAAGUAAAUGAGUUUCCAAAAAUCUUUCCUAAAGAGUUGCCAGGGGUACCUCUCGAAAGGGAAAUAGAAUUCAGAAUUGAUCUUCUUCUAGAUACACAGCCCAUAUCCAUUCCUCUAUGUAGUAUGGUUCCCGCCGAGCUUAAAGAGUUGAAAGAGAAACUCAAAGGCCUCUUAGAUAAGGGUUUCAUAAGGCCCAGUAUUUCUCCAUGGGGAGCUUUCGUCCUAUUCGUGCGUAAGAAAGAUGGUUCUCUGUGAAUGUGCAUUGACUAUCGUCAGCUGAAUAAAGUCACAGUUAAAAACAAAUAUCCUCUCCCCAAAAUUCAUGACUUAUUUGAUCAACUCCAAGGAGAAAGUUAUUUUCCAAGAUAGACUAUAGAUUUGGCUAUCAUUAACUUAGAGUAAGGGGAUAUGAUAUCCCGAAGACAACUUUUAGAACCCGUUAUAGUCAUUUUGAAUUUUUAGUCAUGUCUUUUGGGCUAACAAAUGCCCCAACAACCUUUAUGGACUUGAUGAACCGUGUGUUCAAACAAUACCUAGACAUGUUUGUCAUAGUCUUUAUCAAUGAUAUCCUUGUCUAUUCUUGUAGUAAGGAUGAUCACGCAGACCAUAUUAGAAUGAUAGCAUUAGAGUUAAUCCCCAAAAGACUAAAGCAGUGAGAAACUGGCCUUGACCCAUUUCUCCAUCAUACAUUAAAAGUUUCUUGGGUUUAGCUGGCUAUUAUAGAUGGUUCGUUGAGGGGUUUUCAUCCAUUGUAUCUUAUAUGACUAAAUUAACUUAGAAGAAAUCUAAGUUUCUGUGGUCAGAUUCUUGUGAGAAGAGUUUUCCGGAGUUGAAGACUCAAAUCACUUCAGCCCCAAUCUUAGCUCUACCUGAUGGUACAUAUGGAUUCGUUGUAUAUUGUGAUGACCUUAGAGUUGGUUUGAGUUGUGUGUUUAUGCAGAGAAGUAAAGUCAUAGCCUAUGCCUCUAGACAGCUUAAGCCUCUCGAAAAGAACUACCCUACCUAUGAUCUUGAGUUAGCUGUUAUUGUGUUUGCAUUAAAAAUCUGGAGGCACUAUCAUUAUGGGGUGCAUGUUGAUAUGUUUACGGAUCACAAAAGUUUGCAGUAUGUGUUCACUCAGAGGGAGUUAAAUCUUCAUCAGAGAAGGUGGUUAGAAUUAUUGAAGGAUUAUGAUAUGAGUGUGUUGUAUCAUCCGGGCAAGGCUAAUGUAGUGGUAGAUGCUUAGUAGAUUGUCUAUGGGCAGUGUUGCUCACGUGGAAAAUAAUAAGAAAGAUCUAGUUCGAGAAGUUCACCAGUUAGCUAGAUUGGGUGUAAGGUUGGUUGACUCAGCUGAUGGGAAUGUUGGGGUUUGGAAUAGUUCAGAAUCUUCUCUAGUUUUUGAAGUGAAAGAGAAACAAGAUAGGGAUCCUAGUUUGGUCAAACUGAAGGGUUUAGUUAAAGACCAAAAGGUUCCAAAGAGGAGAUGGUGUGUUGAGAUACCAGAGUAGAUUGUGUGUGCCAUGUGUUGAUGAUUUGAGAUAGCAAAUUAUGGCAGAAGCGCAUAGUAUGUAUUAUUCCAUCAAUCCGAGAGCCACCAAGAUGUCCCGCGAUCUGUGGGAAGUCUAUUAGUGGAGUGGUAUGAAAAAGGAUAUUGCAGAGUUCAUAGCUAAGUGUUCAAUUUGUCAACAGGUUAAAGUAGAGCACCAAAGACCUGGUGGCACGUUGUAGGAUUUUGGUAUUCCCACUUGGAAGUGGGAAGAGGUGAAUAUGGACUUUGUGACUGGAUUACCCUAUUUGCUCCAUCAGUAUGAUUCGAUUUAGGUUAUUGUAGAUAGAUUGACUAAAUCAGCUCAUUUCCUAUUGGUUUACACGUCCUACACAGCUAAAGAUUAUGCUAAGUUGUAUAUUAGAGAGUUAGUCAGAUUGCAUGGAGUUCCUUUGUCCAUUAUCUUAGAUAAGGGUACUCAAUUUACCUUUUAGUUUUAGAUAGCCAUUCAGAAGGGUUUUGGUACCCAAGUUCAUCUCAGUUUAGCCUUUCAUCCGCAGACAGAUGGUCAGGCAGAGAGGACCAUUCAGACCUUAGAGGAUAUAUUUAGGGCUUGUGUUCUUGAUUUCAAAGGUAGUUAAUUGAUUGAGUUCGCCUAUUAUAAUAGUUACCAUGCUAGUAUCUAGAUGGUCCCAUUUGAGGCUCUUUUUAGAUGAAGAUGUAGAUCUACAGUAGGUUAGUUUGAAGUGGGUAAGGCCACUUUGAUUGGGCCAGAUAUGGUGUUUGAAGAUAUGGAGAAAUUUUAGUUGAUUCAAGAAAGAUUGAAAGCAGCUCAGAGUCAUUUGAAAUCGUAUGCAGACGUGAGAAGCAGAGAUCUUGAGUUUGAAGUAGAUGACCUUGUAUAUUUGAAAGUUUUACCCAUGAAGAGGGUGAAGAGAUUUAGCAAAAAAGGAAAGCUUAGUCCCUGAUAUAUAGGCCCCUACAGGAUUUUGAAUCGUGUUGGGAAGGUAGCGUAUAACUUGAGUUACCUGCAGACUUGUCCUCAUCCGGUGUUCCAUGUAUCCUUAUUGAAGAAGUGCAUGGAUGAUUCAGCUAUUGUAGUUCCUCUAGAAAGCAUAGAUAUUUGGAAUAGCCUCUCAUAUGAAGAAGUUUUAGUAGAGAUUCUUGAUCAUCAGAUUCAUAAACUAAGGAACAAAGAAGUUUCCUUGGUCAAAGUCCUAUGGUGAAACCAGCCGUUGAGGGCGCUACUUGGGAAACAUAAGCAGACAUGCAUGCCAAGUAUCCUCAUCUCUUCUCCACAAAUAUAGAUUCAGCCAAAGAUAACAGUCUUUCUUAAUUAAGUUCUUUUCCAAUCUCAGAUUCUGCCAUAUAGUUAUCUUCAUGUAAAUUAAUGCACUUGCAGAUUAGCUCAUUCGCUCAAUAUAUUUUAGAUUUAGUCUUACAACUCAUUUCAGUUGUGCAUGACAGCAUAUAGCCUUAGUUCCUCAGUAUUUUUGGCUUAACUAGUCUCAUUUGAGGACGAAUGUUCCCAAGAGGGAGAUAAUGUAAUACCCCAUACUUUUUCUAGCUAAAUUUAGCUCCUAAAAUGUCAAGGAUUAACUUCAAAAAUGAAUAACUCUUGGUACAUGCAAAAUUUUCAAGCUCUAGACCCACCAAUGUGUAGGUAAUUGACUCAGCUUUCCAACGAUACCAUUUUGCCUUAAUCCGAUACUUGGUUGAGAAGUUAUGGCAUUUUAGUAAAACAGUAUGGCAUUUUAACAGGCAGCACGUCUCAGUGAAUAACGAUUUUGCAAUUGUCAAAAAUUAGUAGAGCACCGCGAUUACGUCGCAUCACGAUGAAAGUCCAAUUUCCACUCGUCCUUUUUUCAGUGAGGCGAUGCGAUUUCAGUGCGUCGCGGCGAUGGACAAAAUGGGACUCGUCCCUUUUCCAAUAUCCCAAUGCGAUAGCCCUGCGUUGAUGGGCAAAAUCAGGAUCGUCUCUUUUCCAGUGAACCACCGCCAUAGUGGCGUAUCGCGGUGGGUGGCCAAAUUGGGAUUUUUCCAGUUUUUGAGUUAAAUUUUAAAAGGGCAAUUUAGUCAAUUCCCAAGCUCCAAGUCGUGAAUAACAUAGAUUAAACCUAUUCCAAGCAUUCUAAACUCACUUUUCAUCAAUCCUCUCUCAGAAAAACCCUAAACCUCAAAACUUAACCUUUAAGAAAUCAAAUUUCCUCCAUUCUAUUUCCAAGAUAGCUCAAAAUUAAAGAUUUCCAAUCUAAGAACUUCAAGAGGUCAUCUUCAAAACCAUAAUUAGGAAUUCUAGAUCAAGCUUUUUAUUCAAUUUCAUCAAUUAAGGUAUGCGGGAUUUUGAACAAGGAUAAAUCUUUCAUCCUUGUGCCCAAAACUAGUUUUAAAUUACAAAUUUACAUGACUUUAAAUGAAUUUCAAUUUAGGGUUCAUACCCAUUUAUUGAUAUUUGAAGAUUAUGAUGUUUUAAGUGUUUUUGGUGUUGCAUUACAUGUCUACUUUCGUAAAUUGAUGCGUAUCAUUAUAUUUUCUAGAUUUUGAAUUGAAUUAUCAAUAUUUACAUUAUCAAGCAUGGACGUUAUAAUAUUUUGACAUGAAUUUGAAGCAUGGGUUAUCGAGCCCUAGUUGAAUAUUUCUAUUUCAAGAAUGAUUAUGCUUUUAAGCAUCUCAGGAUAUGUUUAUAGACAACUUUGAAUAAAUAUUUAAUCUUUUGAUCUUUAUCUAAGAUAUGUAAUCCACUUUACAUCUUACAUUCAGUUUUGAAUGAACAAAUAUACAGUUAGCUUUCAAUAUAAAAUAUUAUGACUUUUAAAAAGUGGAUUUCCUUCAAAAUGAGCCUACAGAUUAAAGAGAGUAGUAUUUAGCACUGAGCAAAAAGUGUGGGUUUAGCGUAUCCUACUUUUCUAGAAAUACAAGCCAACGUAGGUAUAGAUCAAGUAUUCCCAUUUCUAUAUGGAUGACAGUUAUAGAUGUGAUUACUUAGCUCAGGUUAUACUCCUUGGCAAGAGUAUGAUACCUCUCCCCAAUAUAUGGUUUACCCCUUAGGGGAAAGAGACGUUGGACUCCACGAUAGCUCUCAUGAUUUAUGUCGGUUAAGAGAACCUCCCUAAUAGUAAAGAAUAACAAAACAGUUUUUAGCAUAAUAUAGCUUUCAGAAAAGAAUAGCUUUUAGACUUUAAAUGUGAUGACUUACCACAUUUAUGCAGUAUGUUUUAUCAUUCAUGAUUUAUAAUUUUUAGCUUUCAGUUAUUCUAUCCAUGUGAGUCAUUAUAUACAGCAUGCAUAUUCUAUGAAUUUUAUUAGUAGUAGAGGCUUUCAGACUAUUUUGUCUAAAGUAGAGACUUUUAGUGAAGGGCAAAAGGUUCAGACGCUAUCAAACCCUUCAUUAAAAGUAUCUUCUUUAGACAAAAUCAUCUUUUCAGUAUUUUUAUCUAAUAUUUAGGAGUUGAAAAUUAAUUAAAUAUAUUUAUGAUAAAAUCUUUCCUUAUUAAAAGUCCUCAGAGUUAAUGACAACUAAUAUUUUUUCAUUAAUUUAAGAAUUAUAACUCAACUAAAUUAGAUUUUAAGAAGAUUUGAAAAAUCUAUAAAUAAACAUAAAAGCGUUAUAUUAAAGUGUUAAGGAUUUUUAAAAAGUGUUUUGAACUUUUUACACUAUAUUAAAAUCUCCGCAAUAUAAUUGAUAAAAUUAUUUAAUUUUAAAUAAUCAAAAGUUACACGUGUGAGACACUUGUGGUUAAAUGAAACUAGUGUAUAUUUAUAUAUAUGUAAGAAAUAUGAAAAAAUAAAUAUAAGAUUUAAAAAAGCAACUAGAAAAUCAAGAAGGUUGGUGGACGUUUUAUUUUUUAGGCGGAACCUUAAAUAUUUGGACAUCAAUAUGUGUAUUCGAACCUCCUGGACACCCAUAACCCAAAAUCUUGAAUUCACCAUAGUAAUAGCAGUAGUAGAGUAGUAUAUGUUGGGUUCAAUUGGUGUGAAUGAAAAAUGGAGGGACCCAACCCUUUGAGGAAAAGACACAAUAUUUUGAAAAAAGGAGUGACUGUUCAGAAAAAGACACAAUGUUUUAAAUGAACAAACAUGACUCUCCCAAGAGAUACACCUUUUCGGAUGAACUAUUGCCACCUUUAGGAACAGGCACUUUAUGGCUAUAUAAACUUGCAUUUUUUUCACAGGUUUAGUAUGAAAAUUUUUUACAUAAGAAAAAAUAUUCUCUUGCUUCUAAAAACUCUGUGUGAUCAUCUCCAGUUGAGUGAGUUCGACAAAAACCAGAAAGUUUGAGGAACCGCUACAUUCCGGUUAUGAAUCCAUUUAUCCUUGGAGGAAAAUUUCACAACCUCGGAUACUUGAGGGGAAUUAUUUCCUUAAGGACACUCUGUGAAUUCGGAGGACUUGGCUUUUUUCUGCUUCAUCUAUUUUUCUUUAAGAAACUGAAAACACACUUCUUUGAAAGAUCAUUUUGGUCUUGUGUUGAAGGUGUUGGACAACUUCAUAAGUGUUCUUGAUUUAUUCUUAAACUUGUAUUUAAGUAGUAUUGCGAAAAUACAUAAAUUGUGUACUCGAAAUACAACAAUCUUAAGGAAAUAAUUUACUAAUCUGUAUUAUUUCGUUUAUUGGUUUUUUAGUAAAUAGUUGAACUUCAUAUUGAUAGGUCUUCAACUUUUUGAACUUGUGUAUGGAGUUCUUGAAACUUCAUUUUGAUAGUUCAUAAGUUGGUUGAACUUGUGGUGAAGUUCUUAACAUUUGGUUUUGCUAUUUUUCAUAAAAUAGUUUGAACUUCAUUUUGCUGAUGUUCAUAAGUUGGGUUGAAUUUAUUGUUAAGUCGUUCAGGUAUUGCUUUAGCAAUGAAAACAAUAGAGAAAUAGAAAAAUAUUUUGGUGUGAACUUUCAAAGAAUGGCAGCAAAUGAUGUCAUUUUGACCGGCCAAACUUGCAACAAUAAUAAUAAUAAUAAUAAUGAUUGGAAAUCAAUUGUCUGAUGUGAAAGAUCUUAUGAGUCAUUUCAAGAUAGACAAGGAUAAUGAGUUGAAUGAAAAAAUCAUCAAUGAUGGUUGCAAAUCCUGUUAAGGAUGAUGCUCCAAAUAAUAAGAAAAUGAAGAAGUCUUCUAGACAAGAACAGAGAUUAGAUAAACAUGUUGGAAAUAACUAGAAAGAUUGAAAAUCUAUGUGAUAUGAUCACUGAAAGCAAUCUAGUUGGAUAUCCAAAUGAAUGAUGGUUUAAUUUAGGAGCCACUAGACAUGUUUGAGCGGACAAAGAAGCUUUUGCUACUUAUGAUUCCGUUGGUCCCAAACAAGUGAUCUUCAUGAGAAAUAAUACAACAACCAAGGUUGAAAGAAGUGGGAAGAUAUUCCCAAAAGUGACUUCCGACAAGGUGUUGACUCUUAACAAUGUUCUCCAUGUUCCUACUAUUAGAAAAAACUUAGUGUCGAUAACACUUUUCAUUAAAAAUAGAUUUAAGUGUGUGAUUGUUUUGGAGAAAGUUGUAAUAAGCAAGAAUGAAAUAUAUGUAGGAAAGGGCUACCUCAAUGAGGGCUUUUUCAAACUUUAUGUAAUAGUUAUUGAAAUGAAGAAAGUUGAGGCUUCUUCUUACUUGCUAGAGUCAAAUGGUUUGUGGCUUAGUCGUUUAGGACAUGUCAACUACAAAACCUUGCAAAAAUUGAUUAACUAAAAAAUUGUGCCAAACUUUGAGUGCAAUAAAUCAAAAUGUCAAAUGUAUGUGGAAUCAAAGUAUGCCAAACAUCUGUAUAAGUCCAUUGAAAGGAAUUCAAAUCCCUUAGACUUAAUACAUAUAGACAUUUGUGAUAUGAAGUCAACACGAUCUCGUGGUGGGAAAAAGUAGUUAAUAACUCUUAUUGAUGAUUACACUAGAUACUGUUUUGUUUAUUUGCUAAACACUAAGGAUGAAAUAAUAGAUGCAUUUCGGCAAUAUAAAAUAGAAGCUGAAAAUCAGUUAGAGGAAAAGAUCAAAACAAUAAGAAGUGAUAGGGGUGGAGAAUAUGAAUCUUCCUUUGCACAAAUAUAUGUAGAGAAUGAAAUUGUCCAUCAAACUACGGCCUCGUAUUUGCCUCAGUCUAAUGGUAUUGCAGAAAGAAAAAAUCAAACCUUGAAGAAAAUAAUGAAUGCUUGUCUAAUAAGUUUAUGUUUACCACAAAACUUAUGGGGAGAAGCUAUCCUUACAGCUAACCGAAUACUAAGUAGAGUGCCCCAUAGUAAGACAUAAUCAGUUCCAUAUGAAAAAUGGAAAAGAAGGAACCAACUUGAAAUAUUUCAAAGUGUGGGGGUGUCUACCGAAGGUCCAAGUACCUAUGCCUAAAAGAGUAAGGAUAAGACCUAAGAUGGUGGACUGCGUGUUCAUAGGAUAUGCUAAAAGUAGUAAAUCAUAUUGGUUUUUGGUUUAUAAAUCCGAACAUCCGGAUAUCAAUAAAAAUACGGUAAUUGAAUCAGAUAAUGCUGAAUUUUUUGAACACAUUUUUCCUUAUAAAACUAGACAUGAACAGUCUAGUGGGGGUUCUAAACAACCUCAAGAUUAACCAAGUGAGGAUGUAAAUAAUGAUGAGAAUCCAAGAUGUAGUAGACGUCAAAGAAAGUCAACUUCGUUUGGAUAGAAUUUUGUAAUAUUUUUCUUCAAAAAUGAGCCUCAAAUGUUUAAGAAAGUGAUGUCAUCGUCAGACUCAUUCUUUUGAAAAGAGACAGUCAAUAGUGAAAUUUAUUCAAUCUUAAGCAACCAUACGUAGGAGUUGGUUGAUCUUCCUCCAGGAAAUAAACCCCUAUGUUCUAAAUGAAUUUUCAAAAGAAAAAUGAAAGCUGGUGGUGCUAUUGACAAAUACAAGGCAAAACUUGUAGUAAAAGACUUUAAACAAAAGGUAGGCCUUGAUUACUUUGACACAUACUCACCUGUGACAAGGAUAAUGUUAAUUUGGAUGUUAAUUACCUUAGCGGCGGUAUAUGGUCUUGAAAUCCAUCAAAUGGAUGUGAAAACAAUAUUUCUAAAUGGAGAAUUAGAGGAAAAAAUUGACAUUAAACAGUUUGAGGGUUUUGUGGUUCCAGAAAAAGAAAAUAAGAUGUGUAAACUCGGUAAGUCACUUUAUGGACUAAAACAAGCACCUAAACAAUGGCAUGCGAAGUUUGACCAAACCAUGUGGGCAAACAGAUUCAAGAUAAAUGUGUUAUAUUAAAACACACCAAAUUACGAAGUCAUUAUUUGUUUGUAUGUUGAUGACAUAUUGAUCAUCAGUAGAGAUAUUUCUGACAUAAAUGCUACAAAAUGAUUUCUCGAGAGCAAGUUUAAUAUGAAAGACCUUGGAGUUGCAGAUCUUCCCAAGGGUUGGCAUUUUCACAGUCUCAUUACAUUGAAAAGGUACUUAACAAAUUCAAGUAUUUGGAAUUUGGUAUUGCCAAGACUCCAUUGGAUGUGAGCUUUGCACUUCAAAAGAAUGAAGGUGAAAGUGACUCACAGUUGGAGUACAUAAGAGUGUUGGGAUGUUUAAUGUAUAUUAUAAAUUGUACACGGCCAUACAUAGCAUGUGGUAUUAGUAAGUUGAGUCGGUACAUGAGUAAUCCUAAUAAAACUCAUUGGAUGACAAUGAAAAGAGUUUUGGGGUAUCUUAAAUACAUUCAAGACUAUGCUUUGCAUUAUAAUAAAUAUCCUGCGGUACUUGAAGGAUAUAAUGAUGCAAAUUAGAUCACUGGAUCGAAAAUCCACGAGUGGAUAUGUAUUUACUAUUGGUGGAGGAGCGGUCUCUUGAAAAUUAUCCAAACAGAUAUGUAUUGCUAGCUCUACAAUGGAAUCGGAAUUUAUCACAUUAGAUAAAGUCGGUGAAGAAGCAGAAUGGCUCUAGAAUUUUUUGAAAGGUAUUCCUUAUUGACCUAAACUAGUGGAACCAAUAUGUAUGCAGUGUGAUAGCCAAGCGGCAAUAGGUAGGGCAGGGAGCAUGAUGUACAAUUAUAAAUCUCGUCACAUAAGACGGAAACAUAAUAAAGUUAGAGAACUUCUCUCCAGUGGAAUUAUCACUGUUGACUAUGUAAAGUCAAAAUAUAAUGUAUUGGAUCCACUUACAAAAGGACUGUUUAGAGAAGGAGUUGAGAGGAUAUCCAAGAGAAUGGGUUUACGGCCUAAGACAAGUCAGCAUGAUGGUAACUCUACCUAGCAGACUGGAGAUCCUAAGAGCUAGGUUCAAGGAGAUCAAAUAAAUUUGUGUCUGACAGGUUCAACAUUGUUAAUAUACCUAACCCAUUCUCAUGAUGUAGACAAUGUUUUGUAAACAAGUGUAAAACUUAUGGUGUGAAGUCUUUUAAUGAUUAUCUAAAUUUGGUAGAUUUGACCAAAUAUUUUAAUCUACAGGAUUGAACGUUUAGAAAUCACCUAUGUAAUGGCGAAGUCGAAGCCACUUUAAGGAGAAUGUUAGUAAAGGCCUAUUCUCUAAGCUCUCAUAAGACCGGAACGCGUUCAUAGCUGAAACGAACAAAACCGUGAGAACCAUAAACAAUAAAAGGUUGGUUGUAUGACGUGUUGUCUAGGUGUACAUUAAAGCUUGAUGGUUCAAAGAUAUCAAAUCUACCGAUUGACCGAGUGCAUCCGAUGCAUGUUCACUACAGAAAGUUCAAAGGAAACCCACUUAUCCAGAUGCAAUCAAUCUUUGCUUGAUGAUCACAUACUUGUCCAUAAAUUUUUAAAAAGAAUAGCCAUUCCCCAUUCAUGUGGGGCAUUGUUAGAUUCAAUUGGUGUGAAUGAAAAAUAAAAGGACACAACCCUUUGAGGAAAAGACACAUUAUUUUGGAAAAGGAGUGACUAUUCAAAUAGUUGUGUCUAUUUAGAAAAAAGACACAAUGUUUUGAAUGAACAUACAUGACUCUUCCAAAGGAUACACCUUUUCGGAUGAACCAUUGUCACCUUUCGAAAGGGGUACUUUAUGGCUAUAUAAACUUGCAUUUUUUCCACAGGUUUAGUAUGAAGAAUUUCUGCAUAAGAAAAAAUAUUCUCUUGAGAAAAAAGACACAAUGUUUUGAAUGAACAUACAUGACUCUUCCAAAGGAUACACCUUUUCGGAUGAACCAUUGUCACCUUUCGAAAGGGGUACUUUAUGGCUAUAUAAACUUGCAUUUUUUCCACAGGUUUAGUAUGAAGAAUUUCUGCAUAAGAAAAAAUAUUCUCUUACUUCUAAAAACUCUGUGUGAUCAUCUUCCGUUGAGUGAGUUCAAAGAAAACCAGAAAGUUUGAGGUACCGCUACAUUCUAGUUGUGAAGCUAUUUUAUCCUGGGAGGAAAAUUCCUCAACCUCGGGUACUUGAGGGGAAUUAUUUUCUUAAGGACACUCCGUGAAUUUGGAGGACUUGACUUUUUUAUGCUUCAUCUAUUUUUUUUUUAAGAAAAUAAAAUCACACUUCUUUUAAAGAUCAUUUUAAUCUUGUGUUGACGGUGUUGGACAACUUCAUAAGUGUUUUUUAUUUAUUCUUGAACUUGUGUUGAAGUAGGGAUGUGAAAAUACAAAUUUUGUGUACUCGAAAUACAACAGUAUGUGUGUGUGUAUAUAUAUAUAUGUAUGUAUGUAUAUAUUGCAAAUACCUCUUUUAUCUGUAUUAUGUUUAAUAAAGCUAUUAAUAUCUUUUAGUCUUAUGAGCGAACAAGUUUACUAACAAAUAUAACCGACACUUUUCACAAAAUGAAUUUAAGUUUGGUUCAUCGUUGGCGUAUUUUUUACUAUUAGGUAACUUUUACCUACUGUAGCAGGUCACCCAUUUCUCAAGGUAAAAAUAUAAAAUGAAUAGGCUACAAUAGGUAAAAGUCAUGAGAUGGUGUGAAAAAAAUACACCAUGGUACACCAAACUUAAACUCUUUCAAAAUACUCUAGCUGCCGACCUAUUCCAUAUCCCUAGCUUCAGUUGUCAUCAUAAAUACAAUGAGAUCGUUCGCUUCUCCUAAUCUUUCUUCUUCCAUAGUAUCGAAGUAAAUCAAUUUUUCCUUCUAAAGCACCUAGAAAUACCCAACCUUCAAACUGCAUGGAAUGUUUAGUUGAUAAAUCUCCCCGAUGAAAUAAUUCUAGAAAAAUAGGCCUGGAUAAAUUUAAUUCCGGCAAGUNNNNNNNNNNNNNNNNNNNNNNNNNNNNNNNNNNNNNNNNNNNNNNNNNNNNNNNNNNNNNNNNNNNNNNNNNNNNNNNNNNNNNNNNNNNNNNNNNNNNNNNNNNNNNNNNNNNNNNNNNNNNNNNNNNNNNNNNNNNNNNNNNNNNNNNNNNNNNNNNNNNNNNNNNNNNNNNNNNNNNNNNNNNNNNNNNNNNNNNNNNNNNNNNNNNNNNNNNNNNNNNNNNNNNNNNNNNNNNNNNNNNNNNNNNNNNNNNNNNNNNNNNNNNNNNNNNNNNNNNNNNNNNNNNNNNNNNNNNNNNNNNNNNNNNNNNNNNNNNNNNNNNNNNNNNNNNNNNNNNNNNNNNNNNNNNNNNNNNNNNNNNNNNNNNNNNNNNNNNNNNNNNNNNNNNNNNNNNNNNNNNNNNNNNNNNNNNNNNNNNNNNNNNNNNNNNNNNNNNNNNNNNNNNNNNNNNNNNNNNNNNNNNNNNNNNNNNNNNNNNNNNNNNNNNNNNNNNNNNNNNNNNNNNNNNNNNNNNNNNNNNNNNNNNNNNNNNNNNNNNNNNNNNNNNNNNNNNNNNNNNNNNNNNNNNNNNNNNNNNNNNNNNNNNNNNNNNNNNNNNNNNNNNNNNNNNNNNNNNNNNNNNNNNNNNNNNNNNNNNNNNNNNNNNNNNNNNNNNNNNNNNNNNNNNNNNNNNNNNNNNNNNNNNNNNNNNNNNNNNNNNNNNNNNNNNNNNNNNNNNNNNNNNNNNNNNNNNNNNNNNNNNNNNNNNNNNNNNNNNNNNNNNNNNNNNNNNNNNNNNNNNNNNNNNNNNNNNNNNNNNNNNNNNNNNNNNNNNNNNNNNNNNNNNNNNNNNNNNNNNNNNNNNNNNNNNNNNNNNNNNNNNNNNNNNNNNNNNNNNNNNNNNNNNNNNNNNNNNNNNNNNNNNNNNNNNNUUUUUUGCCUAUUAUUUUGCCACAAAUACUUUUGUUGUUAUUUAGUGUUUACCCAACAAACUGGUAUUAGAGUUAUGGUUUGCAAUAUCUGUAUUUUUGGGUAAAACAACUAAAGUCAACAUAAGUAGAAUAGCUAUUUAAAAUAGCUUUAAUUAUGCCAUUUGGAAGGAAAAAAUUAAAGAUUUUCUCUAUGUCAAGAAUUUUCAUCAGCCAGUCUUUGACACUAUAAACCCGAAAAUAAAAUUGAUGAAGAGUAGAAUCUAUUGAACAUUCAAAUUUGCAAUUUUAUUAGACAGUGGGUUGACAACAAUGUGUUGAACCAUAUUUCUUGAGAGAUAAUGCUCGGUCCCUAUGGGAGCAUCUUAAAGGUUUGUAUAUAUGCUUGAAAGAACAAAAAUAAUAAGAUGUUCUUGAUAAAACAAAUGUUGAGAUUAAAAUACCAUGAUGGUUCUCCGAUGAUAGACCAACUGAAUAACUUUCAGAGAAUCAUGAACUAGUUAAUUGCUAUGGGCAUUAAGUUUGAUAAAGAAAUUCAAGGCUUGCUUCUACUUCGUUCCCUACUGGACUCAUGAAAAAUAUUUAUUUCAUUAUCAAACUCUGCUCCUCAUGGCGUGAUCUCUAUGAAUUUUGCCAAGAGUAGCGUUCUUAAUGAAGAGAUGAGAUGAAAGUCUCAAGGUUUUUCUUCGUCUGAUACUUUGGUGACUGGCGCUAGGAGGAGAAGCAAGAAUCAUGGUGCUCAAAAUGGAGAACACCAUAGAAGCAAGUCUAGAGGUAAAUUUAAAGAUAUUGAAUGCUAUCAUUGUGGGUUAAAAGGGCACACAAAGAAAUUUUUCCAAAAGUUGAAGAAGGAGAAAAGAGCCAAGGAGGAAAAGAAAGAAGACGACAAUGAAAAUUGCAUAGCCACCAUCACCACCGAAGAUCUUGUUAUAGUCCUUGAUGUAAAUCUAAUAAAUGUUGCUUGUGAUAAGUCAAGCUGGAUUAUAGAUUCUGGUGCCGUAUCUCAUGUGACAUCAAGGAAGGAUUUUUUCUCAUCUUAUACUCAAGGUGACUUUGGAACCUUAAGUAUGGGCAAUGAGACUGUUUCUAAGGUGGUUGAUAUUGGUACAAUUUAUUUGGAAACUAAUACUGGAUCUAAAAUAGUUUUAAACAAUGUAAAACAUGCAUCCAAUGUUCGCUUACACUUAAUUUUUGUUGGUGUACUGGAUAAUGAGGAAUAUGUUAGUACCAAUGGUGGUGGAAAAUGAAUACUCAUUAAGUCUUCUUUGAUUAUGGCUCAUGGAGACAAGCGUCAUGGUCUAUACUGGACUACAGCUUCUACUUGUGCUAAUAUGGUAAAUAUAGUUGAAAGCAUUUGCUCUUCAACGUUAUGAUAUAAGAGGCUUAGCCACAUUAGUGAUAAAGGACUUAAUGCUUUGGCUAAGAAGAAAUUACUGUUGGAUUUUGAAAGUGCUAAAUUAAAAAAAUGUGACUGCUUGAUUGAAAAACAAAAUAAAGUUUCUUUCAAGUCUUAUCUUUCCUUCAAGAAAGACAGAGUUGCUUGAGCUGGCAUUUGCAAAUUUAUGUGGUGCUUUGGCUAAGAAGAAAUUACUGUUGGAUUUUGAAAGUGCUAAAUUAAAAAAAUGUGACUGCUUGAUUGAAAAACAAAAUAAAGUUUCUUUCAAGUCUUAUCUUUCCUUCAAGAAAGACAGAGUUGCUUGAGCUGGCAUUUGCAAAUUUAUGUGGUCCAAUGAAGACAAGGACUUUAGGUGGUGUACUUUACUUUGUCACUUUCAUUGAUGAUUGCUCAAAGAAAUCUUGGGCCUAUGUCUUGAAGACUAAAGACCAAGUGUUGGGUUUCUUUAAGCAGUUUCAAGCUUCUGUUAAAAGGAAAAUAGGAAAGAAGUUGAAGUGUAUUCGUACUGAUAACGGUGAUGAAUAUUGUGGACCAUUUGACGAAUACUGCAAGCAACAAGGUAUCAGACACCAUAAGACUCCUCCUAAGAUGCCUAAACUUAAUGGUUUGACGGAAAUGAUGAACAGGACCUUGAUGAAAAGAGUCAGAUGUUUGCUUUCUGAAGUAAAGUUGCCGAACUCUUUUUGGGGUGAGGCUUUAUUGACUGUUGCACAUGUUAUUAACCUAUGUUCUGCUGUUGCUUUACAAAGUGAUGUAUCAAAUAAAUUUUGGCGUGGAAAAGAUGUUUCCUAUGACCAUUUAAGAGUUCUUAAUUGUAAAGCUUUUGUACAUGUGCCCAAAGAUGAAAGGUUAAAGUCAGAUACCAAGAUAAGGUAAUGCAUCUUCAUUGGUUAUGGCCUUGAUGAGUUUGGUUAUAGGCUAUACGAUCCCAUUGAGAAUAAUCUUGUAAGAAGUCGUGAUAUUAUCUUCAUAGGGAAUCAAACCAUCGAAGAUAUUGACAAAGCGGAGAAGCUAGAAUCUUCAAGUUUUGAUGGUGUGGUUAGUCUUAAUCAAUUUCCUCCUACUAGUUUGCAUGAUGUUGGUGGGCGAGAUAAUUAUAGUGACACCCAGAACCAUGUUUCAAAUCAGCAUGUUAAUGUUGAUAAUGAUAACAAUGUUGUUGUUGACGAUGCUUCAGUUCAAGAAGCUGUGGAUGAGUCAAAUACUCCGCUAAGAAGGUCUAGAAGACAACGUAUUUCUUCUUUUCAUCAUUCUCCUAAUGAGUAUGCAUUACUCUCUGACGGGGGAGAGCUUGAAUGUUAUGAGGAGGCCAUGGAAGAUGAAUAUAAGGAUCAAUGUAUUGAAACCAUGCAAAAGGAUAUGAAAUCUUUGUAUGAGAACCACACAUAUGAGUGGUGAAAUUGCCUAAGGGCAUGAGAGCUUUGAAGAAUAAGUGGGUGUUCAAAGUAAAGUUUGAAGAACACAAUUUGAAGCCCAGAUACAAAGCUAGAUUGGUUAUCAAAGGGUUUGAUCAAAGGAAGGGUAUUAACUUUGACGAAAUAUUUUCUCCCGUUUCAAAAUGACCUCUAUUCGUACAGUUUUAGUUUGGCUGCUAGUCUUGAUUUAGAGAUUGAGAAGAUGGAUGUGGUGAAAUCUUUUCUUCACGAUGACAUUGAAGAGAAGAUUUAUAUGGAACAACCUGAGGGCUUCAAGGUAAAAGGGAAAGAAAACUAUAUGUACAAACUUAAGAAGAGUCUUUAUGGCUUGAAGAAGCUCCCAAACAGUGGUAUAAGAAGUUUGAAUCUGCCAUGGGAAAGCAAGGUUACAAGAAAACCUCUUCAGAUCAUUGUGUAUUUGCACAAAAUUUUCUGAUGAUGAUUUUAUCAUCCUUCUACUAUAUGUGGAUGAUAUGUUAAUUGUGGGCAAGAAUGCUUCCAGAAUUAAUGAGUUGAAGAAAUAAUUAUGCAAAUCUUUUGCUAUGAAACACUUGGGUCAUGCUAAGCAGAUUUUGGGCAUGAGAAUUACUUGUCUCAAAGAAGAAAAUAAGCUUUACUUGACAUAAGAGAAGUACAUUGAACGUGUGCUAAAGCGCUUCAACAUGAAGAAUGCUAAAGUUGUUAACACACCCCUUCUGGUUAUAUGAAACUGAGCAGGAAAAUGUGUCCUGCAACGAAGGAGAAAAAAAAGAGCAUUGUUAAAGUUUCAUAUUCCUCAGUUGUCGAAAGUUUAAUGUAUGGAAUGGUGUGUACGAGACUCGAUAUUGCUCACGCAGUUAGUGUUGUCAACAGAUUUUUUGAAAAUCCAAGAAAGGAGCAUUGAGAAGCAGUCAAAUAGAUAUUAAAGUACGUAAGAGGAACCUCAAGUGACUAUUUGUGUUUUGAAGGAUCUGAUCUAAUCUUAAAAGGAUAUACAGAUACUGAUAUGGAAAGUGACCUUGAUAACAGAAAAUCUACUACUAGAUUUUUGUUUACAUUUUCAGGGGGAGUUAUAUCAUGGCAGUUGAAGUUGCAGAAGUGUGUCGCACUAUCUAUAACUGAUACUGAGUAUAUUGCGGCUAUUGAAGCUGGCAAGGAAAUGAUAUGGCUCAAAUGAGUUUUUCAAGAACUUGAAUUGUAGCAAAUGGAUUACGUUUUCUAUUAUGACAGUCAAAGCGCAAUAAACUUGAGCAAUAAUUUCAUGUACCAUGCAAGAACAAAACACAUUGAUGUAAGGUACCAUUGGAUUCGUGAACAGGUGGAGAACGAAUCUUUCUAUGUUAAGAAGAUUCACACGAGUGAAAAUCCCGCGGAUAUACUGACAAAGGUGGCGCCAAAAAAUAAGUUCAAAAUGUGCAAAGAGUUUGUUAGUAUGAGCGCUCUUUGAGAAGAAUGAGAAUACCUCCUUCAAAUGCAUGGGACUGCAGGGGGGAUUUGUAGGGUCCAUCCCCAUUAAUGCCAUUGAAAAAAUUGUUCAUGACAUGGCUUAUUUUCAAAGAGUUUGAUAGAUAUAGGUUGGCCACCAACCAAUUAAUCCAUUCAUAUGAAUUUUUUCUUGAGUAAAGAUGUCACCAACGACAUCAGAACAAAACAUCUCACUGAUAUAAAUAGAGAGAUUUGGCUCAUUUGGAGAAUACACCAAACAGAGGGAAAAUAAUAUAGAGCAGUGAGGUAUUCCAUAUAUUAAUUAAAAUAGUCUGUAAGAAAAAAAAUUAAAGUGAGCGAUAUUUUAGUAAGGUAGGGGUCAAAAGAGGGUUAUUUCUUUUGAGUAUGUAGUAGUUACUUUGAGUAUUGUACUUGUGAUUAUGGUGUAAAAACUCUUUACUAUAGUAAUAUCAGUUGCUCCUCUUGGUCUGUGGUUUUUUCCUUAUUUAAAAGGGUUUCCAUGUAAAAUUCUUGAUGUCAUUAUUUUUAUUUAUUUUCCUAUUAUUUUACCACAAAUACUUUUGUUGUUUUUCUGCGUUUAUCCAACAGUUCUAGAAAUAAUAGAACCCGCGUAAAAUUAAGACGUCUUACAAUAAAUUUCAUCAAAAUUUAGAUAAUUUAAGAACAUUUUCUUUUUUUUUUAAUGUAGUAAAGCAGUGAGGGGCGGCAGUAUCGAAAAUGGGGUAGCAACAACGAGGCAAUCAUGGCGGGUGGGAAGGGAACAAUGUAAAUUAGAGUUUGUGUGCCACAGAAGAUUAAAAUUUAUUGAAAGUUGUACUCCCUCCGUCUCAUUUUACCCGUUUCAAAUUGGGAUGACACAGCUAUUAAGAAAAUAAUGAUUGAUAAUGUAACUUUAUCAUUUUGUCCCUCUUAAUUGUGUCUUAUUGUUAGUUCCAAUAUUGAUGGAUGACUAAUACUAAAUCACCAUUUCUAUUCUUAAUGGUGUACUUUCAAUGGUACUCCUCCUUUGCAACAUUUUUCAAGAAUGUUAAUAAUAAAGAGUAAUCAAUUACACUAAGGAUAUAAUGGAAUAAAAAAAUUAUCUUAUCUUGAUAAGUUAAAAAGGACAAGUAAAAUGGGACAACAAAUUAUAAGAUUUGGGACGAGUAAAAUGGGACGGAGGGAGUAUACAUUUUGUAAAUUUUAUUGCUACUUUUAGAAGUUAGAAGUUAUAAAUUUUUAUAGCAAGAAAAUUGUCCUCAGAUAGUGGGUGCUUAAACUUAAAAAAUUAAAAAAUUACCACAGUGAGGUCCGAAUCCGGGGCCUCCUUCCAAUGGAGGACCUUAAAAUCAACCUAAAUGUUGAUGCAUCCAAUAAUUUUUUUUGUUAUAAUGUGUGCUUUUAUAUGUUUUAUACCUAUUUUCCUUUAUUUUUUACGUAAUUAUAUUUAUUACGCGUCGAAUUUAGUGGGUGCCGAAGCACCCCAAAAUCCUACAUAGGUUCGCCCUUGGACAUAAACUCAGGGGCAGAGCCAGCCUGUGUAAUGGGGGUUCACCGAAUCCCCUUUGACAGAAAAUUACUAUCUAUACAUUAUUAAAACCAUAUUUUAUUUAUAUAUAAUAGAUGUUGAACCCCUUACGAUUAGUUUUUCUUCAAAUUUUGGAUCCCUUCGUGAAAAUUUUGACUCCGCCUCUGCUGAUAAACUCAGCUAGAAAGAUAUAAAGGUCAAAUAUUAAGGUAGAAAUUUGUUAGUUAGUCGACCGUUGUCUAGUCUUUCUUAUUAGUAUUGUUUUAUCGCUCAUAUAGUAUUUUGUAUUCUUCCAUUUUAUUAUUAUCUGACAUUCUUUGCUUCGGUACCGUAUUACGUAUUAUUGAUACUGUUCUCUUCUCCGUUAUACUGAUCAACAUGACUACUUUACUAUUACGUUUGCUUUUUCAUAUUUGAUAUUAUUACGCGUUACUUGAUCUAUGGGUCUAUCAUAUACAAUCGUUCUACCUUUAUAAGAUAAAAAUGAGAGUACGUACGCAUCACCCUCUCCUAACUCCACUUGCUCGUUUCUUGGGCUAACAACCAUCAAAAAUCGCAAAAAAUCUGCAACCCUUGCCGUUUCGACCGUUUACUUGAAAAAUGACUCCCCCGACCCCUUCAAAAUAACCCGAUUCAUUUAAUAGAUCGCCAGGAACUACCUGAGUAGUUUUGUCCAGAACCUUUUUCGAUCCUGAUCCAACUAGAGGGGUCUGAAUUAGCUCCUCCCGAUCGUAUCUCUCCCGAGAGGAAAGAAAAGAUCUUUAGAAUACAUGAAUAAAAUUUCUUUUCCUAAAUUUGAAAUCGAAAGUGUUCAAUUAAUAUAUGAGCAUUUUAUCAUAUGUUUAAAUGUUUUAUUAAAACAUCAUGAUUCGACUGUUUAAAUGAAAUUUAAUAACAAUGAGAUUGCGUACGCAUCACCCACUCCUAACUCCACUUGCCCGUUCUAUGGGCUAACACCCAUCGAACGUCACAAAAAAUCUGCAAAUCGUUACAUUUCUGCCGUUUGACUUGAAAAAUGAUUCCCCCAACCCCUCCAAAACAAUCCGAUCCAUUUAAUAGAUCAUCAGAGAGGACUGCUACCCACACCAAGAUAUCACACCAUAUCUAAAUUGAUUUUAGGGAAAUGGAUUGAUUUAACACUUCCUUAGGAAUUUGUACAUAUUUGAAACCUAAGUUGACACGUUAUUUAGUACUAACUACUUGUAUUUUUUAAAAAUUAAUUUUUGUAAUAAACUUAGUACUUAAUUUCCAAUGGGUAAAGACUCAAAUCUUUUCCAUGAUAUAUUAAAUCAAGAAAAGAUCAAGUCAAAAAAUUUAAUAAUAAUAAAAAGUACGUAUACAUGUAGUUUGUUUCAUCCAAUAAAACAUCUUUUUAUGAUCUGUCAACUUUAUUUUAACCUUAAGAUGUAACUAAGUAGAAAAAAAGUGAUUUUUAUUGGAUUUUGAAAACUUUGAAAAAGUUGUAAGAAUGUACAUGGACUUGUAAAAUCAUUUCUACGAAAAAAUUAAUAUAUUUUAUGUGGUUAAAUUUAAUAAACACACGCGCUUUAUUUCUCUGUGGUUUGCGUGGAACUGAUAACUCGAAUCAUUUGUAGACUGAACUCUUUUCUCUUUAGUCUCGCCUAGGUUAGGGAACUCGCCUCCUUCACUGCCCUCCGAUCGGAUGAAUGGAGGACCAAUCGACAUGGGUUUUCACGAGCGGUGGCGGGGUUCUGGAGUGCAUGUCAAAGGCGCGGAGGGUGAUCAUCACCAACUGCACAUCACAUCUCGGCACGGUGGAACAUAUAAUCUGCUUGUCGUUCCAUUCAACUACAUUUGCUCCAUUCACUCGAAUUUCCUCCGUCUCAUCGAUUUUGUUCGGAUCCGACCAAAGGGUUUGAAUUAGCUUCUCCCGAUCGUAUCUCUCCCGAGAUGAAAGAAAAGAUCUUAAGAAUACAAGAAUAAAAUUUCUUUUCCAAAAUUUGAAAUCAAAAGUGUUCAAUUAAUAUUUAAGCACUUUAUCAUAUGUUUAAGUAUUUUAUUAAAACAUCAUGAUUUGACUGUCCAAAUGAAAUUUAAUAACAAGUUUAACAGAUUAUCGAUGUAUUAAACAUAUUUCAAAUCAAGAAAAGAUCAAGUCAAAACAUAGCUAACAUUUUUUUUUUAAAAGAAACAUAACUUAAUUUUAACAAUAAAAAGGCUGCUAAUUUGUAAGUAAUUUGUUUAAUCCAAUAAAAACAUCUUUUUACUAUACGUCUGCUUUAUUUUAACCUUCUCUUUAAGAUGUAACUAAGCAGAAAAAAGGGAGAUUUUCAUUGAAUUUUGUAAAAAUAAAAAUAAAAUGUUGUAAGAAUAUAAUAUACUACAAGUAUAUUAUAGAAUCCAACAAUUUUUACACAUAGCAUAAAUUUAUCAAAAUUGUGAUAAAUAAUAGAUACACACCAUAAUUUUUAAUAUAUAUAAUUGAUUCUGCGUUAAAAAUCUUAAAAUAUUACACUCAUUAAAGUUAAAUUCUAAAUCCGCGACGGUUAAAAUUAUUUGUAUAGAGUGUAUUAUAAAGGGUGACAAUUCGAAAAAAGAGAACAUUGAUAAGUCAAUCAAUAAAGUGUAUUUUUUCUGAUGUAAAUACUUGUAUGAUUAAUAAUCAUUAUCAUAAGUCACUGUAAAAAAUCUCAUAUAGGGAUAAGGUGUUAGCAGACAAUCUAUUAUUUUUUUUAUGUUUGGUCAUUUAUUGGGAGACAGGUCAUUAAUUAUUUUUAAAAAAAUAAAGGGGAGAAAAAUAAGAAAAUUUAUAGAAGAAAUUAAAACCACAGGAAAAUGAAAAAUUCUAUUAACUAGAAUCCUUGGAUUCGAGCGCUUAAGCAAUAACCGCUUUAGUGGUCAGACAUGGCUUAAGUAGUAGCUGCUUUAGCGGUAUAGUAUUGCUUUGGCAGUAGCCGCAUAAGCGGCAAUCGUUGUAUAUAAACCUCCACUUUUUAUGCCUUUUCACUAUUUUUUGACUUUGAACUUCGGAUUUGGGCAAUUUUUAGAGUUUUCAUCACCAUUUGAGCUUGGGCAAGCUCCAAAACCAUAAUUUUAUUACGUUACAUUGAUUUACAUCAUCAAAAUACUCUUUAAGCUUGAUUUUAACUUGAGAUUUUGAGGAUUUUCUUUGGAAAAGCUUAAAAAUAAUUUCUCUUUGAUUUGAAUAUCAUUUUAAACUCGUUUUCAUGUGGAUUUUGAACUGAAGAUUCUUUUAACCUUGGGAAUUGUAUUUCUAAAAAAUAAAUUUGAUUUUACCCUAUUUAUUUUUUAACUCAUCUUUUGAAUCCAUUUAGUACCGAACUCAAAUAUGUGCAUUAUAGGUGUCAUUAGUUUUUUAAUACGUAGAUGCUAUAUUUAAAUGUUGUAGUUGAUUCAGGGGAUCGUCUGAAAGAAAAAAGCUUUGUGUUGAAGUACUUUAGGCUUGGAGUUAGGGGUUGAUAUGAUAUCAAUAAUGUCUUACAUGCAUAUUUAUUUCAAUGGACCUAGUUGGAGUUGAUAAUCAUGAAUUGAACAUAAAUUGAUUUGAUUUCGGUGCUCACACACACACACACACAUAUAUAUAUAUAUAUUGAAUGGAUUAGAUAUCUUUAUUCUUAUUUGAUUGUAAGAAUUACAUUCAUAUCCCAUACAUAUACAUUCAUGAGAUACCGGUAUAAUUGAGGAACACUAAUUUGAAAGAAAAUGAGAUGUUUUUUAUAAAACCCCUCUUCGUGAAUACUAGCCGAAGAGGUGGUUUGAUAUUUGAGAUAUGUGUUAUAGUAUAUGAGUUUCAAACCCUAUAUGAAUCCUAUCUUGGGAGCUGUAAGCUUGAUAGGUGUACACAGAAAGUCAGGCGAUGACUUUCACUAUUCAUCUCAUCAUCAUUGCAUUGCAUAUACAUCUUUCAUAAUUAUUUUAGUUUUCCUUGACUUAGUUUUAGCUCCCAUAUAAUUUUCAUGUAUAUUUGUAUUAUUUCAUUUCAGUAUUUGUAUUAGAACUAUCACUGGAGGGGGUGUGAGCUACCAUUUGGGAACUUUUCUAUUUGCAGGUGGCUUGCUCAUAGUUUUCUUUACUUAUAUUAUUUUCUGCUUUGCUCAGUUGGCCUAUGAUACUUAAUGAGUAUAAGUGGACUAUACUCACUCCUACUGUGUCCUUUCGGUGCAGAUCCUAGCACGAGUAUGACAAAUGGAGGCCGAGGUUGUGUAAUUGAGUUGGUGAUUUUUCGAGGUACUAGAGUGCUCUAGAGUUCAGAGUUACUUUUUUAGGAACUCAUCCUAUCUUCAUUUAUGUCAUUUUUAGAAACAAACUAAGUAUUUUCAAAUUCGAUUAUGUAUUAGAUGCUCUUACAUUUGUGACACUAGAUUUUGGGGGGAUUUAUGUUACUUCUUCAGACAUCUGCUUUAUUUAUGUUUUUUCUUAUCUUAUUUCUUAUUAUAUGGAGAUUUUCUUUCGAUUUUGGGGUAUUGGAUUAUUUGUCAAGGUUAGGCCGUAACAAGUGCGAUCAUGACCUCAUUUUUGGGUCAUGAUAAAUUAGUAUUACAAUUCUAGGUUCACUGAUCUCAUUAGAAUAAGAGUAGGAUAUCUAGUAGAGUCUCAUAGAUCAGUAAAUAGACGUUUAUAUCUAUCUUCGAGAGGCUAUAAAAUACCUUUAUGAAAUACUUCUCUAAUUUGAUUUCUCAUUGAGCGGGUUGUUCAUACCCAAUAUUCUAAAUUUAUAUUCUAUUUUUUUAUAUGCAGAUGGUGAGGACUAGGCACAGAGAUGCUAGGGACAAGGGUCUUGGUCGACCUAGAGGUAGAGGAUGGGCAAGAGGAGUUAACCCAGCUAGAGGACGUGCUAGGAAGGUCUCUCCUAAUCCUGAGGUUGUGUACUCUAGGGAUAAUUGUCAAUAAGGGGGUGCAACACCAACUCAGUUUCCACAGAGUUUAGUCAAUAUCCUAGUGCUUCAGUGUCUUUUCAUUUGCCC